rnacentral:lncRNA from 1 species
UUUCCUUCGCUCGGAGUUCUUACUGAGGACGCCCAAAUACCACGGGAUUGCUAAGCCCGUCUUCGAGAGAGAAUCGUCGUUCGUCCUCGUCUGCUCGCUCAUCUUCCUGCACUGGCAUCCUCGUACUGCUCGCCCUUAUCUCCUGCUCGUCAUCAUCUACUCUUGGUCUGGUAAAUUUCAAAUCUGACGAUUGAUUUCUUCGAUUUUGUUCUAGAUCGUUAAAUUAUUACUGGGUUUUCAUCGAUUCAUUGUUUUGGGUUUGAAAAUUCUGAAAAUUUGGAAUUUUUACAUCAAAGAUUGUCAGUUUUGUAGAUAAUAUUAGUUUUCUUGAAUUUUGUGGUUUUGGGUGUUUUUGAUUUGGGUUGAAUUUCAUAAAUUAGUAGUAGCUAAGUGGUCCGAGGCUGGUGGGUUAUUAGCAUCGUUCAAAUUGUUUGUCUGUGUAAUUUGCAAUGACUCUGCAAUACUUUGCAAUGGCAGUAGCCUGGUGCACGGGGCUGCACAUUUGUUCAUAUUAAUAUCAGUAAUUAGGUGUUAUAUGAGGAAAGUAAAAUGAUAAUUAUGGUGCAAAUUUUGAUUAGAAAAUUAGUAUUAAGGACAAAGAAUUGUGUGCCUCAACAUGUGGUGCUCUUGUCUAUUCCUAUCACGUCCACAAUUUGAUGUAUAUGCAAGGCUUUUGAUUAGAAAACUAGUAUUACAGACAAAGAAUUGAGAUGCAGAUGCAGAGCUUUGGAGUUUGGGUGUUGUUUUUGGUAAAUUAUUAAUAAAUAAAAUUUGAAAACUUGGAGCCAAAUUCAUUAAUUGUUUGUCUAUGUAUCUACUUUGCAAUGACUCUGCAAUGGCUGCCAUGGCAGUAGCCUGGUGCACUGGGCUCAGUUGUUUGUUUUGGUCUGCUGUACUUUCCCAUUCAUAUCCAUCCGAUUCUAUUUCAAUUGCUUUUUACAAUUGUUCAUUUAAUCUCACUUAUGUAAAUAAAUGCAGAAAUUUGUUGUUGUUUGAUUCCUUGUGCUGAAAUACUUCAGUUUUAUUUGCAGUUCUUGGUUUUCUUGCAUGAUAUUUGUCUGGGAAGAUCAAAUUGUUUGAUCACAGAAGCUAUUCUGCAGAGCUCUGUAUUGUAUGCGGUGUGUGUGUGUGUGUAUGCAUGCGGUGUGUGUGUGUGUGUGUGUGUGUGUGUGUGUAUGUAUGCGGUGUGUGUGUGUGUGUGUAUGUAUGCGGUGUGUGUGUGUGUGUGUGUGUGUGUGUGUGUGUGUGUAUGUGUGCAGUGUGUGUGUGUGUGUGUGUGUGUGUGUGUGUGUGUGUAUGUAUGCGGUGUGUGUGUGUGUGUGUGUAUGUAUGCAGUGUGUGUGUGUGUGUGUGUGUGUGUGUGUGUGUGUGUGUGUGUGUGUGUGAUGUGUGCAGUGUGUGUGUGUGUGUGUGUGUGUCAUGUGUGUGUGUGUGUGUGUGUGUGUGUGUGUAUGUGUGUGUGUGUGUGUAUGUAUGUAUGUGUGUUGUGUGUGUGUGUGUGUGUGUGUGUGUGUGUGUGUGUGUGUGUGUGUGCAGUGUGUGUGUGGUGUGUGUAUGUAUGUAUGCAGUGUGCAGUGUGUGUGUGUGUGUGCAUGUGUGUGUGUGUGUGUGUAUGUAUGUAUGUGUGUGUGUGUGUAUGCAGUGUGUGUGUGUGUAUGUGUGUGUGUGUGUGUUGUGUAUGCAGUGUGGUGUGUGUGUGUGUAUGUAUGUAUGCAGUGUGUGUAUGUGUGUGUGUGUGUAUGUAUGCGUGUGUGUGUGUGUGUGUAUGUAUGUGUGUGUGUGUGUGUGUGUGUGUGUGUGUGUGUGUGUAUGUGUAUGUAUGUGUAUGUGUGUGUGUGUGUGUAUGUAUGUAUGCAGUGUGUGUGUGUGUGUGUGUGUAUGUAUGUAUGUAUGCAGUGUGUGUGUGUGUGUGUGUGUAUGUAUGUAUGCAGUGUGUGUGUGUGUGUGUGUGUGUGUGUGUGUGUGUGUGUGUGUGUGUGUGUGUAUGUAUGUGCGGUGUGUGUGUGUGUGUGUGUAUGUAUGCAGUGUGUGUGUGUGUGUGUGUGUAUGUAUGCAGUGUGUGUGUGUAUGUGUAAUGUAUGCGGUGUGUGUGUGUGUGUGUAUGUAUGUAUGCAGUGUGUGUGUGUGUGUGUGUAUGCAGUGUGUAUGUAUGCAAUGUGUGUGUGUGUGUGUGUGUGUAUGUAUGCAGUGUGUGUGUGUGUGUGUGUGUGUGUGUAUGCAGUGUGUGUGUGUAUGUAUGUAUGUAUGCAGUGUGUGUGUGUGUGUAUGUAUGCAGUGUGUGUGUGUGUGUGUGUGUAUGCAGUGUGUGUGUGUAUGUAUGUAUGUAUGCAGUGUGUGUGUGUGUGUGUGUGUGUGUAUGUAUGCAGUGUGUGUGUGUGUGUGUGUAUGUGUAUGUAUGCAGUGUGUGUGUGUGUGUGUAUGUAUGCAGUGUGUGUGUGUGUUGUAUGUAUGCAGUGUGUGUGUGUGUGUGUAUGCAGUGUGUGUGUGUGUGUGUGUGUAUGCGGUGUGUGUGUGUGUGUGUGUGUGUGUGUGUAUGCGGUGUGUGUGUGUGUGUGUAUGUAUGCAGUGUGUGUGUGUGUGUGUGUGUAUGCAGUGUGUGUGUGUGUGUAUGUAUGUAUGCAAUGUGUGUGUGUGUAUGUAUGUAUGCAGUGUGUGUGUGUGUACUUGGUUUAUAACCAUGAUAUUACAAUGUGAAUGUUUUGUAUUGUGUGGGGUUGAUGCUGAAUUGCAAUUUUUUGUGGUUGUUGGUUGCAGAGAAGAGGAGCAUAAACGGAAGGCUAAGGCUAAGAAAGUGUUCGUCCAAAGGCUUUUAAGCGACAACGCAAGCGGAUGAGGAUUUUGGCUAAUGUUAACAUGGAUGUAUUUUAUUAAUGUUAACAUGGAUGUAUUUUAUUAAUCAUACAAUCUUAUGUUAUGGCUUAUAACUUAGCUUUGCACUAGUAUUUUGGCUUAUGUUAACUAGCCAUUUUGUAAAUUAUGGAGAUCUAUUUUGGCUAAUGUUAACUAAUGUUAACUAGGAUUUUCUAAAUUAUGGAGAUCUUCUUAUGUACUUGUAUUUGUUGAAGUUGCAUGUAUUGGGCACUAUUAUUUUUCUUCUGUUGGGUGAUAGAGUUUAAACCAAGCUACGUUUGCAAAUUAAACCCAAUUCUAUUAGCAGGUAAUAGAAACAAAACAAUUGUCAAUUUUGUUUAAGAUUCAUAAUAUACAUGGUAAAAAUAUGCUCCAAUUAACCCAUAUCAUGAGAUUUGUAGCAUUACUCUAUUACACAAUGACAAAAAUUUGUAGUCCUAGUCUAAGCAAACACAAAUCUGGUGAACAAUACUGUUUUUCUUAUCCUGCUUCUUAGUCCGACAUUACACCAAACGCUUCACUAAAUUAGUCCAGCUUAGUCCAAUCUA